CGCCUCUUGACAAACAUAAGAGGUCCAGCCUGCCCAGUGACAAAGUUCAACGGCCGCGGUACCCUAACCGUGCAAAGGUAGCACAAUCACUUGUUCUCUAAAUGAGGACUCGUAUCAAUGGCACUACGAGGGCUAUACUGUCUCCUUUUUCUAAUCAGUGAAACUGAUCUCCCCGUGAAGAAGCGGGGAUUAUAAUAUAAGACGAGAAGACCCCAUGGAGCUUUAAACUCACCAUGCACCUCUGUGCUACUAUACCCCUAUAACACAACAGACCUGCAUGUUAGUUUUAGGUUGGGGUGACCACGGAGUAUAACUUAACCUCCAUAACAAACGGGCUAAUACCCUUAUCCACGAGACACAACUCUAAGAAUUACUAGACUAAUGCUUACGACCCGAUAUUCGAUCCAUGAACCAAGUUACCCUGGGGAUAACAGCGCAAUCUACUUCAAGAGCCCAUAUCGACAAGUAGGUUUACGACCUCGAUGUUGGAUCAGGGUAUCCCGGUGGUGCAACCGCUACCAAU
rnacentral:rRNA from 1 species